rnacentral:rRNA from 1 species
UGGGGAAUAUUGCACAAUGGGCGCAAGCCUGAUGCAGCCAUGCCGCGUGUGUGAAGAAGGCCUUCGGGUUGUAAAGCACUUUUGUCCGGAAAGAAAUCCUUGGCUCUAAUACAGUCGGGGAUGACGGUACCGGAAGAAUAAGCACCGGCUAACUACGUGCCAGCAGCCGCGGUAAUACGUAGGGUGCAAGCGUUAAUCGGAAUUACUGGGCGUAAAGCGUGCGCAGGCGGUUUGCUAAGACCGAUGUGAAAUCCCCGGGCUCAACCUGGGAACUGCAUUGGUGACUGGCAGGCUAGAGUAUGGCAGAGGGGGGUAGAAUUCCACGUGUAGCAGUGAAAUGCGUAGAGUGUGGAGGAAUACCGAUGGCGAAGGCAGCCCCCUGGGCCAAUACUGACGCUCAUGCACGAAAGCGUGGGGAGCAAACAGGAUUAGAUACCCUGGUAGUCCACGCCCUAAACGAUGUCAACUAGUUGUUGGGGGAUUCAUUUCCUUAGUAACGUAGCUAACGCUGAAGUUGGACCGCCUGGGGAGUACGGUCGCAAGAUUAAAACUUAAAGUGAAUUGACGGGGCUCAUAGCUGUUUCCUG